rnacentral:rRNA from 1 species
GUGAACGCUGGCGGUAGGCCUAACGCAUGCAAGUCGAACGGCAGCACCGUAAGAGCUUGCUCUUACGGGUGGCGAGUGGCGGACGGGUGAGGAAUACAUCGGAAUCUACUUUUUCGUGGGGGAUAACGUAGGGAAACUUACGCUAAUAACGCAUACGACCUACGGGUGAAAGCAGGGGAUCUUCGGACCUUGCGCGAUUGAAUGAGCCGAUGUCGGAUUAACUAGUUGGCGGGGUAAAGGCCCACCAAGGCGACGAUCCGUAGCUGGUCUGAGAGGAUGAUCAGCCACACUGGAACUGAGACACGGUCCAGACUCCUACGGGAGGCAGCAGUGGGGAAUAUUGGACAAUGGGCGCAAGCCUGAUCCAGCCAUACCGCGUGGGUGAAGAAGGCCUUCGGGUUGUAAAGCCCUUUUGUUGGGAAAGAAAAGCAGCAGGUUAAUACCCCGCUGUUCUGACGGUACCCAAAGAAUAAGCACCGGCUAACUUCGUG